ACCUCGUUCUUUUCUCCAGGGAACUUUUAAGGUCUCAUCUUUCUCUUCUCUGGAUAUAGGAGAAAAAUUGAAAGAAAAAAAUGGAAAUCGGUGAACGAAUUCUAUGGAGAAAGGAACAAGUGCACUUGCUGAUGCUGAUGUUGUGGAUGUUGGUUGAUUCCAUAAGCGGAGUAAGGUUCUUCUCCCAAUUUUUAGGUUAUGAACUAUUUUGUACUCAUCAUUAUCUUUACUCAAUUUAAAGAGGGAUUCUUAUAGAUUGGCGAGUUUUUGUGGGAUAUGCUUGUAAAAUUUUCUUUUAAUUGAAGUUGUUGUGUAUGCAACAAAAUUAGGGUUCAUAUAUAAUUUGGGGCUUUUUCCUCAAAUCUAUUUAUAAUGUUUGAGUAACCAGAUUGUAAAGCAUGGGUCCUUAGUCGUUUUACUUCAGUAUCACAGAAUUUGGGUUAGAAUUUGGUAUGAAUUUGGAUAAUUUGGAUUUAAAUUGAAAAAUCAGCUUGGAAUCUAGUUAAGAGAAGUGGUCUGUUGCUGUUCAGAUUAUGUGAUAAAUGUCUAUGAAUUUUGAUUCUUUAAGGUUCAUGAUUGAAUAGGAAACUUGUGUACGUUCCUAAUAUGACUUUGCAGGAAGCUAGAAAUUAUAAGAGGGCUUAGAGACAACAAUAAAGGGUUAUCCCUCUAGCAACAGCAAGGCUCCUGCAACUUAUUCGCUAAAAUGCUCGUAAGAAAAGAAAACGGAUCGUACUUAUAGUAUCUCGUUUUAGACUACUGAGAUUCAGUGCUAAUGAAACACAAUUGCGCAUGGACAUAAGAUAUUCUUCAGUUCCUUGCGAUACUGUUGGUGACUUGAUGAGGUGUCAUGAGUUAGAGAUAGUUGUUGCCACGCAAUUCAUACUAUCUAAUCAAAUAUUGACGAACUACGGUCGUGCUUGAUCCCUUCGAGCAAUGGAGAGGGUGGGUACGUAGGCAGCCGUUACGCGGUUCAGCACAACUCCACAAGGUUGUUCAUAUCGUCUGAAAAGGGUUGGUUGCUGCUUUGCAGUUCAUACCAUAUAUUCCGAGAUGAUUGCAACACUGACAUUGGCAACUGGCCGAUAGUGGGUUGGCAACUGGCCAUCCUUUAUCAUCGGCAGCUGGCCAAUUUUUAUCGUUGGCAAAUGGCCGUCCUUUAUCAUCGGCAACUGGCAGAUAGUGGGCUGGAAACUGGCCAUCCUUUAACCUUGGCAGUUGGCCAUAUAAAUUGUUAGAACUGGCAACUGGGCGUAUAUUAUUGGAGUUGGCAACUGGGCAUCUUCCAUUGUGGCAACUGGCCAUAUAAGUCUCACACAUAUGGGUAAUCCAAAGAUUUGCAAUGAAUAGCCGUACCAAUAAGCCUAGCGAUUUCCUUUCGAUUCAUAAAAUAUGUUCAUGAAUGUACUUCUUUAAACAAAUGUAAAAAUU